ACCAAAUCAUGUUUAUUUUAGAAUCGAUGGUUAAACAACACAUUUUGACGACAAAUUUUGGCGACUAUCAGUUAUAUUUUCGAGUUAUGAUUUUUGUCACUCAAAUGUGUUCUUUAAUUCAUCGAUUCCUAAAUAAACAAGAUUUGACCA
rnacentral:pre_miRNA from 1 species